rnacentral:lncRNA from 1 species
GCCGCCACGUUCCAGAGGAGGGCGGACGGGUGAGCGAGCCCAGAGUCGCGUACCUCCGGGCUCUGGCCGCUUCUUUCCUCUCAAGCCGACCUUCGCGCUUGCUUCCUGCCGCCCCGUCCCGACCCGGGGCUGGCGACAAUCCCGCGGUGGCUGGUGACGUUCGCUCCGGCUUGGCCGAGCACAGGAAGCCCGCGCCUACGGUCGUGCGACCCUUUUAUAACCCACUUGUGACUCAUAACCGACCGGGCGGCUUUUCUGUCACCCCCCCCCUUCCCCUCCUCCUGCCUCUUCUUGGAACCCACAGCUUGAAAAACUUUUUUUUUCUUUUUAAAGGAAAAGUCGAAAAAGUCCAGCGCCCCGAGGAGGGGUGUUUUCCCCUUUCCCUUUCUCGUGGGUCACUCGGUGUGUGUUUUCUCUUACACCCGCCAUGUACUUUCCUGACCCGCGCAGCAAGGCUGGGGCGCCAACCUUUGUUCGCAAUGAAAAGGAAACGCAUUCAAAUUACGGCCAGACGUUGCCGAGCUUUCAGUCGGCUGGAGGGGAAGUGCUGCUUCUUACAACUGGCUGGCUGGGGAGUCUACACCCUGCUUGUAGUUGAGAAAGAAAAGUGAAGCAAGUGGAAAGUUCUCCCUUCCUGCUCCUACUGAUUCAGCCAGAGGCAAGCGGUCCCUAACCGAGGAAGGAAUGUCUUCUAGGGACGGUCUGUGUGGCCACGCCCUUAUUUCCCUCAGAGAUUCCACAUGUAAGAGAAAACGUGAGACCCGUCUUUCCGAAUCUGGCUUAACAUAAUGAUCUUCACUUCCAUCCAUUUUACUGCAGAUGACAUGAUUUCAUUUUCCUUUAUGGCUGAAUAAUACUCUAUUGUAUAUCUUCUAAGAUUUCUUCUGGAAAAACUGACAUUUUUGGGUGUAAACUUCAUUUCUAAAGGAUUGCAGCUCACCUGAAAUAUAAGACCAAGUCAGAGAAAAACUUACCUUCACUCUGUUUUGAGGAUGUUCAGCUUUCGUUUUAGAAUCCAUCUUAUCUUCUUUCUAUGUUCAAGAAGGUCUUCAUUGUUUCUGCCCAAGGCUUCCUGCAC